rnacentral:rRNA from 1 species
AUGGGUGUGGGCGGCACUCUGGACUACUUGUCCGAGCUUCUCGGCGGCGGCGGCCGGCGCCGGAGCUACAAGCAGAAGAGGAAGCAGUUCCAGACGGUGGAGCUCAAGGUCAGGAUGGACUGCGACGGCUGCGAGCUCAAAGUCAGGAACGCCCUCUCCGGCAUGAAAGGGGUGCAGUCGGUGGAGAUCAACCGGAAGCAGUACAAGGUGACGGUGCAGGGGUUCGUGGAGCCGCACAAGGUGGUGAAGCGGGUGCAGGCCACCGGGAAGAAGGCCGAGAUCUGGCCAUACAUCCCCUACAACCUCGUGGCGCACCCCUACGCCGCGCAGACCUACGACAAGAAGGCGCCCCCGGGCUACGUGCGCAAGGUGGACGCCGUCAUGCCCGUCGCCAGCUACGGCGGCCCCGGCGCCGGCGCGCAGGAGGAGCGGCUCACCACCAUGUUCAGCGACGACAACCCCAACGCCUGCUCCGUCAUGUGA